AUUCCCUAGUACGGCGAGUGAAGCGGGAAGAGCUCAAAUUUGAAAUCUGGUAGCCUUCGGUUGCCCGAGUUGUAAUCUAGAGAAGUGUUUUCCGUGCCGGCCCAUGUACAAGUCCCUUGGAACAGGGCGUCAUAGAGGGUGAGAAUCCCGUCCUUGACAUGGACCCCCGGUGCUUUGUGAUACACUUUCAACGAGUCGAGUUGUUUGGGAAUGCAGCUCAAAAUGGGUGGUGAAUUCCAUCUAAAGCUAAAUAUUGGCGAGAGACCGAUAGCGAACAAGUACCGUGAGGGAAAGAUGAAAAGCACUUUGGAAAGAGAGUUAAACAGUACGUGAAAUUGUUGAAAGGGAAACGAUUGAAGUCAGUCAUGCUCUUUGGUAUUUAUAUCAUUGAGUGGGGUCAACAUCAGUUUUGAUCGAUGGAUAAAGGCACUAGGAAGGUAGCACUCUCGGGUGAACUUAUAGCCUAGCGUCAUAUACAUUGAUUGGGACUGAGGAACGCAGCAUGCCUUUAUGGCCGGGAUUCGUCCACGUACAUGCUUAGGAUGUUGACAUAAUGGCUUUAAACGACCCGUCUUGAAACACGGGACCCC
rnacentral:rRNA from 1 species